rnacentral:rRNA from 1 species
GAACGAGGAUAUACCCUUCGGGGUAUAAACCGAGUGGCGCAAGGGUGAGUAAUGCAUAGAUUACCUGCCUCCGGGAUAAGGACAACUUUGUGAAAACGAAGCUAAUACUUAAUAAUACAAAAGAAAAUUAUUUUCUUUUGUCAAAGGGAGGGUAGCAAUACCUUUUGCCUGGAGAGGGGUUUAUGUCCUAUCAGCUUGUUGGUGGGGUAAUGGCCUACCAAGGCGAAGACGGGUAGCCGGUCUUAGAGGAUGGUCGGCCACACUGGGACUGAGACACUGCCCAGACUUCUACGGAAGGCUGCAGUCGAGAAUCUUUCGCAAUGCCCGAAAGGGUGACGAAGCGACGCCGCGUGGGUGAGGAAGGCCUUCGGGUUGUAAAGCCCUGUCAGGAGUUAAGAAAUAUAAGUGCGUUAAUACCGCAUUUAUUUGACGAAGGCUCCAAAGGAAGCCACGGCUAACUCUGUGCCAGCAGCCGCGGUAAUACAGAGGUGGCAAGCGUUGUUCGGAAUUAUUGGGCGUAAAGAGCACGUAGGUGGGUUUGUAAGUCAGAUGUGAAAGCCUUCUGUUCAACGGAAGAAUUGCAUCUGAAACUGCGAGUCUUGAGUGUAGGAGGGGAGAAUGGAACUUCUGGUGGAGCGGUGAAAUGCGUAGAUAUCAGAAGGAACGCCGGCGGCGAAAGCGAUUCUCUGGCCUAUUACUGACACUCAGUGUGCGAAAGCUAGGGGAGCAAACGGGAUUAGAUACCCCGGUAGUCCUAGCCGUAAACGAU